CCCGGUGACGGUGCGCGCGUCGCGUCGCUGCUACAACACUACCACGGUCUACCGACGACACUAUAAAACCGUAUAAAUAAUAAUAAACACGGACGUUCGGGCGGUAGAAAAAAAAAAAAAAAAAACCGAAAACGUAGGCAGGUAAGUAUGAAUGAUCGUACGAGACGCAGAAAAAAAAAAAAUGUAAAAUUAAUACCGUUUACGAAAAACGAUAACGCAAUAACAAUAAAACACGAUACAAUAGCGAUAAUAAUAUUAUUGUUGUUAUUAUUAUUAUUAGACGCGCGCGAUCGAAAACGCGGACACGCGACAAACGGGCGACGACAUGACGGUGGUGCGCGCGACGACCGG